UGCGGGGUAGAGCAGCGGUAGCUCAGCGGCCUCAUAAGCCGUUGGUCAGGAGUUCGAAUCUCCUCCCCGCAA
rnacentral:tRNA from 1 species